AGUCUCCAGUGUUCCAGAUAAACAAAGAAGAUUUCCCCGCUUCGCUGGGCAAACUACGGCAGCUGAUAGAAGACAAAGUUCAGAUCCUACGAUCCACCAUCACUGAGGACCAACAGGGUUCAGCGAGUGAGUCGGACACUGGAAAAGGAGAACUGUGGAGGUUUGCUGUCCUAAGUGAAGAGUUGACCUCUCACCUCCAGCAGCUGCAGAGACAGACAGAGCAGGAGCUCAGCAGCAUAGACACACAACUCUUUCGGAUUAAAAGCCGCCUGCAG